GGACAAAAGUCUAUAGCCAGUGCAUUCGUAACUCCCCAUGCACAAGAGCUGACUGUGGCUCUGGGAAGACAUUUUACUCAUUUGCUUUCUUUUUUCUUGUAGUCUUCUUGUCCAGUUCUCAGGUGUUUACCACCUAUUAGAAUUUCACCUGUAUGGGUCCUGUGUUUGAGAAAGUCCCAGGACCUGUCAGCUCUAUAGGCCUCAUAAAAGACAGCUCUGUUCAGGUCUUGAAAGGGACUGCAGUUAAAAGCUAGGGCUAGGACUUGGAGGAUGUGUAGGCAAACGGAAGGAGAGCCGGGGAAGAAAAACCGAAAUGGAUUCAUUCUCUGUCCUGGAUGGAGGAGGAGAGGAGAAGCGGACGUGCAAGCUUCCUUCAGCUGCCUCUGUCCGGUGGAAAGUGCUCAGACCCCCGGGGCUGCGCCGGGCUGAGGCUCCGCACGGACUUUCGCUCCAAGCUGCCAAUCAAGGCUCUCGCUAGCCACCACCCUGCUCUGGCACCGACACGAUCUGCAGGAUCUCCCCCUGUGAGAUGCAACUCAGCAGCUCUGUCCCCUCUGCCAUCUCAGCGCUGCCAGUGGAGAAGCCCAGGAGGAGCACAGAGCAGUGGCUGAGCAGCAAUCUGAAUAUUCGUAUUUAACUCUUCAAACAACAGAAGAUACUUCAAAACCAAGUGAGAGACAAAAUGCCAUUAAACUUUCAAUUAUUAAACCUCUGUUUAGCUGUACUCCAGAAAUGAGCAGUUCAUAACAAACUGGGAAUUCUGAUUCACAGUUUGCCAUCAGGAGCCCUUAAGUAGGAUUUUUCCAGCUAUAAUGCGGUGUACUCUUCAGUGUUCCCUUUCGCAAGAUGCUAUUUCAAGUAUAGGAGCAUGACAAAAAUUUACAUAAAAGUUUCGUCUAUAAUAUGUGAUUGCUUUGAAAUUAAGAACCACCAGUUUUCCCCUUAUUGUUUUAGAAAUCAAGAGUGUACUUUGUUUUCUCGUUUACUUAGUGCGCUUUCUGAUGCAUUUCAAGUGUUUUCUGUCAAUACCAUGAGACCUUGCUUACCUGGUAAAUUUUAUGUGUGAAAUGAUUAGUGUUCGAAGUGCCUGAAAAAGCCAAAGGUAACGAUGUCUGACAACUUUUCUUUUUUUUAAUUUUUCUCUUAAAUAAUAUUUCAUGGUACAUUAAGCAGGUUUCUUCUUAAGAAACCAAAGCAACAUAUUGCCACAUGCAUACUUAAUGUUUCAUCAAGCAGCUAGUUUUUAAAAGGAAAAAAGCAGAAGGCAGCAUGGAAUCCUUCCUGAGCCUUUUCUCAGUUUGUCCCAGAUUUGGUAAAGAAUGGUAAUAAUUUGGAGUCAGAUACAGAAAGAAAAAUAAAUAUUAUUUUAUGAUAAACCUCUCAGCGUGUCAUUUGCAAUCACAGGCAGAUCCUAGAAAUGCUACUUGUUAAAUCCAUCGAACAUUACUUUUUCCGAAGUAGAAAUGUUUUUAGCCAAACUGCUUUCCCGAUGUUCACUUCGGGUGUACCAGUCAGAGCCAGAGCAGCCCAUGAGAGAAGCAAACAAUUAAAACAUUUAUGUAUUUGAUUGCUGAUACACAUCCCUACAAGGUAGAUUUUAACAUUUUUUUUUCUUUUUAAGGGUUUUUUUUGGUUUUUUUUCGGUAAGAAGGAUAAGCUUUGAGUGCCCAGUCACCGUGGUAACUGCCAGAAAAAUUCUCCUGAAGUUUGAAGAGGUCAGCUAACGGGGUCAACAACUCUGGCCUCUCUCUGAGCUGGGCCUGGCAGGCUCCAUCCUGUGGUUGGGGUGUUAGCGCAGGCUGAGCCCUGGGAGGUGGACCAUUCCAGCUCUGAUAUAAAUUUUUUGAGUCAGUUCACGGCCUGGACUCUCCAGGUGGCCUCUAAAAUCGAUUGUGACCUUGUGACCCUGUCUAACGGAGGCAUAGCAUCCAACCUAAGUAAGGAUUUAGCCAGGAACGACAGCUUUCCACUGAGUGUUAUUGGGGACAGUACAAACAGUUUUGGAAGCAAGGAGGUAGGUAUGAGGAGUAGGGGUCAUUAAAAACAUAUUAAAAAACAAUUUAAAAAAUCCUUGUUAGUGGUCAGUUUUUAUUAGCAGUAACUGUUCCUUAAAUAAACUCUUCUGGCAACUAUUUUUUUCUUCCCUAACAAUAUUGUAUCAAGUAUUUCAGUGCAUUAAAGCAUAUGAAAAAUUGUCACUUUAUAUAUUCCAAACCAAACAAAUAUCUUAUAUACUGCUGGAUUUUGAACUUGUAAAUGAAGCUGAUGGACAUGUGUUGAACUAGAUGUCUUUGAAGCAGUUUUUUUCCCUUAAUGUCAUAAAACCCAGGAGGCUGCUUGUUAAAUCAGGUUGUUUAUUUUAGGAAAUAACUUCUCUGAUAUGUGCAUUCUUUUGAGAUUCAAAAGGCUCUUAAUCCAUGUAAUUUUAUUUUUAAACUAGGAAAUUAAGUCAUGUUCAGAAAAGUGUGGCAUCAAAGUGUGAGUGUUUCACAGGUCAGUUCCUUUGCUGAUUUCCGAUACAAAUAGACAAGUCACAAAUUUGGCUAUCUAUUUUUGUAGAAAAAAACUGUAGUCAUAUUGAGAUCAUAUUUACAGAGAAUAUUAUAUUUUUUCCUUUAAGAUUUUAAGCAACAAACUCUGUGGGGGAGGGAGAGGUUUUGGCAGAGGUCUGAUUUUGUUAUCAAGUCUAGAAAUUUGCCCUUCUGAGCAAGUGGACAUGCUCUUGUGUUUUACUCCUGCUUCUACAAAACCUCAGCUCCACAUGCAUUGCUCACAUGAGUAAUCAGUAGUCAUCAGAUGAGUAACGGGAACUACAUUGAAGAGGGAAGUCCAGUCUCCCAGGGAAAAUGCUCUUGGGCUUUGAGUGACUUUAAAACUGCUCUGAAGGAAGAAAAUUGCAUUAACAUUUGCUCCCAGCCUUAGAAAAAUUAUGCAAACUUAUCCCAGUGGGAAUCUUGCCCAAACACUUUUUGUGCCUCACAGGAGAGGGCCUGGCUCUGACGUCCUUCCUCCCAGUCACUUACCUAUUGAGCAGUUCCCCUGAGGUUGGAGGGGCUGUGCAGAGAUGGGGAUAUUAAAUAUGGUUCAGGAUGAGAGUCUGAGCUGCCCUACAUGAGAAAUAUCACUGUACUGUUGAGAAGUCCCAUAGCUUACAACAGCAAGAGUCUGUAGCUUUUACUUGCAGUAACACCUUGCUCUGAAGAAAGUCCCUCCAAAUCCAUGGAUGCCUGUUGGCCAAGGUUCUACCUCUGAUAGGGUUGGCAUAAUCUGCUCCAUUGGGAUUAUUUGAGGAGCAGGAGCUUGAUUUCUAAGAAUAAGAAGUGGGGACAAACUGUGCCCUAAAAUAAUUUAGAGCCCAGACUUGCACAUGCAGAUAUCAAUGGUGACACUCUAUAUAAUUUGACCCUGAAUACUAUUUGUAGCUUCUUGUUGUCAUCCUUUUUUUUAAUAGAACUCAGCUGAAAAUUCAUUCACAUUAGCAAGCCUGUUGAUUCAGGGGAGCGCCACGUGUGACUAAGCUUGGCAAGACGUAGCGUACAGCCCUGUGGUAAGGACCAGCACAUUUGCUUGGUUUUCAAAAAAAAACCCCAAAACCCAAACAAGAUUCAAAAUUAGGAAUGGUGAGCAGCUGGAAGGUGAAUCCUCAGUAUUUUCCAAAGCACCUGCAGAAUUUUUAGCAGCUUUUAUUUAUUUUUUAUAUUGAUACCUCUUCUGUAAUGUGGGCAUACAGCACACCAGUUCCACCUGACAAACGGGGUCACUGCUAAAACAGAUGAUGCAACUAUUACACUGGAACUUUCGGACCAAAAUUGCCCAAAGUCUCAGGCUUAGAAUCAGGAAUCGUUGGCAGAGGGAGCAACAAGAGGAUCUCAAGAGCUUGGACUUGCUGCAAAUUCUUUAGCGUUGAUUUCUGUAGAUCCCACUGAAUUUAUAAUCAACUGCAAAGCAUUUUUCAAGCAUUUGAUGUCACUUGAAACAGGUCCUGGGUUUGCAUCUUCUGUACCUCUUCACAUUGUUCAGUUUUUCAUCCACAUCCUGCGAUAUGGAGUGCCUAGAGGUGCAUAUGUUAGCAGUAGCUGCAGUGGGACUAUUCACCUUCCUCUUCCCCUCCACUCAGUGAUGUACUCCUGCAGAUUAUUUUGAUUCCUUGAAAUAUUUUCUGAAGCGCAGGUUCAUUCAAUUUUAACAGAGUGAUUUAUAGGAAUGGUCUUUAUACAGUGUUAGCGACAAACAGUCAGGAUCACUAAAGGCUCUGGACUGCUGGUUCCUUGCCUCUAUCCUAUAGAUCACUGAUAAUCCAUGAGACCUUGGCAAGUCUGCUGCAAGUGGUCUGUGGAACGGUAUUAAAUAAUAAUGUCCGUAGUCUUCAGUUAAAAUUUUGAUGAGAAGAGUAUGUGGCAAGAAAAUCUGAAAGCUGAGAGAAAUCUACUAGCCUGAACAUUCUGAGAAUGUCUGGAAUAUACAAAUGCAUCUCAGCCUGUGGUCCAUGAGGCAUUAGAAGAUAUUUUGAGAAUGUUUUCAAAUUAAAUACAUGCCCAGUUAAAUGAACACACUUUAUUACUCAUACAAGCAAGGAAAAGAAAGCUAUCAAAAAAUCCCCACUUCAAAACAAUACAAAGAAAAUAAAAGUAAUAAAUGAACAAUGAAGCCUCAGCCUAGUUGUGUUUGUUGGUAUCUAAGCCCACGUUCCCAGCACUCUGCAGAGACCAAGCAGCACUGCUCUAGAAAGCAGCAUGUUGCCAUAGCCUGGAUGAGGGCUGGCAAAGGUCUGUAUGUUCUGGAGGAAGCAAGGAGAGCAAGUGAGCGUUGGGACUUACAGGUGCACUGGCAGAAGGUCCUGAACAAGUGCUGCAUUUCCUUCUCCUUCUACUUCUGUCUGCUUGGAGUGUGUCUGUGCCUGUCGUUUUUCCCUAUUCUGGGUGGACUAAGACAGAGAAAGCACUUACAGAAGAUUUGUGGAAGGGUUAUAAUAUAGGUUGAUACUUUAGGAGCUAUAGGAAGUUCUUAAUUUUUUUCCUGCCUAUGGGACUGUCAUUUACAGAACCACUAUUGUCUCAUCUUUUAUAAGGAUAUUUCCUUACAUUAAGGUUCCAAGAGCAACCGGACUUUGCCUUUGUUCACAGCUAUUUCAGUUUGUAGCUUAAUCCACAUCUAGUAUUCUGUUUACGCUUUCACUGCUCUCCUAUGCAGCAGACUGUACCUACAGGCUGGCUUAGAUGACAUUAUUCUCAAAACAUUAAUUUCUGUGUUUCUUUUUUUCCCCCCGAUUUGUCUGUGCAUCUUGAUUUUGCAUUAACCUAGUUUAUUACAGGUAACAUGAUAAAGCAUGUGGAACUUUAUGCAUUUAGUU
ensembl:lncRNA